UACAGAGGGGGCAAGCGUUAUUCGGAAUUAUUGGGCGUAAAGGGCGCGUAGGCGGCUUGGCAAGUCGAGUGUGAAAGCCCCGAGCUUAACUUGGGAAUUGCGCUCGAAACUACGAUGCUGGAGUGUGGCAGAGGAAGGUGGAAUUCCACGUGUAGCGGUGAAAUGCGUAGAGAUGUGGAGGAACACCGAUGGCGAAGGCAGCCUUCUGGGCCAACACUGACGCUCAUGCACGAAAGCGUGGGGAGCAAACAGG
rnacentral:rRNA from 1 species